GCCAAACUGAUUUUUGUGACCACGCCCCCGAGGCGGAAUUUCACCUGGCGAAUUCCACCUGGUCAUAUGCUGUGUGUGAACGAACAGUGAGCACGUUUAGCGUGAGCAGCUAACCAAAAGCCUGCUAGCUAACGCUGCAACCGGAGCAAACCAAUACAAAGCACGAAAUCGCGGAUACAUGCAACAGAACGAGCGAUCAUAUCCUCCUAAACUGCAGUGUAACACGCCAUCAAGACGACAUCUCAGCUACGACUUCCUUCAUCUACGGACACUCUCCAAAAGACUUGGGCAUUUAGCUUUCCUUGCUAUUCACAACCUGGUCAUGGGGAUGGUGUGGUGUAAAGCAUUAGCACCAUGGUCCCAGAACAGUGGAAACGGUCACGAGGCCCCUCCAUCCUGCACGUCCUGCAGCAUGGGUGUGUGUGUGGACCGCUGCUGUGACAUCUGCUGCCAGGGCUGUGUGGGCUGCUUUGGUUGCCUGUGCCCCCGUGACUGUCUCUACACAUUCUGUGCCAUGAUUGCCCGCCUUGCCCACUACUGUUCUGUCGGUCAGAAACCAGAGCCGGCCUAUGCCAUGCCUGGAUCACAGAAAUGCUUCAGUGUGGGAGAAGAGGUGUAGAUGCCACUUUGGCCAAGUUGACGGAGACACAGCGGAGACAGAUGGCCCCAAUGGCAGUCCUCCUCACCCAAAUGUUCCAUCAUCUUUCACCUCUGUCUGUAUUGAUUGGGUCACCAUUUGCUUUUGAGUAGAUUGUUAAGCAUUCUGUGCUUAUUAUUUUGUGAUUGUAUUUUUUUUUAUCAUGUAUACCCAUACUAGCAAUGUUUCUGUGCUCGAUAACAAAAGUUAACAAAUGAUGGCAAUUUCAAUAAAGGCGCUGCCACGCAAAUUCAUCCACUUACUCUGUCUACAGUGCACUGCAAAAAUUCAGCUUUUAAAAACAAGCAAAAAAGUUAGAAAAUGGGGGAUAUAUUACUUAAAAUAAGCAAAAUGAUCUGCCAACAGAACAGGAAAAUUUGGCUUACCAAGAUUUAAAAAAGAAAACCCAAAUAUACCUAAACAACUAAAAACAAGUACAUUUGUCUUGAUUCUGACUUUGACAAAGCAGUUUUGUACUUGUCAGCGGUGAUCAAACUAGUUUCAAGCAUUAACUUGCUCAGAACCAGUAAUAAAAUCUCAGUAACAGGUUAUAAUACCGUAUUAAGAUAAUUAAGAACCGAAACGCU
ensembl:lncRNA